CAAUAAAUUUUGGGGGUUCCCCAUACUUAGAACUGAAACUCAAAAAUUUUUUUUUUCACCAAACCCAUACGUGUGGGGUGUCUAUGGAUAGGUCUUCAAAAAUGAUAUUGAGGUUUCUAAUAUCAUUUUCUUCUAAACUGAAUAGUUUGCGCGAGAGACACUUCCAAAGU